rnacentral:lncRNA from 1 species
CUAUCCAUAUGUAUCUUGAUCUGAUGAUGAUGACUUGAUUGAUGAACUAGUAGAAAUAUUUUCUACUGUUCAUCCUUGCUCUGAUUAGAGACUCUUAGAGUCACCAUCCUAUGAGAUCACAUAGGAUAUUCUCUCCUCCUAUAAGAAGUGAUCGAUUCUUUAUUGAUCACUCAUAACCUCCAUCUACACUUUACCAUACCCAGAAUAUCCCACAUACAUCUCAAAGUGUGUGCUAGGGAAUAAACCAAAGUAAGGAUCCAUAUACACAAGGUACCAUAGUGAUCUCAGAUCAAAGGAUCACAUGCACAACUCCCAUUGAAGAACCAUUGUUGACAUGCUAUAAGGCUCUAUCAGAUAUUCUUCCUUUGGAUCAGUUCAGUAAACUCAUUCUCUAAUGAGCACCUACAUCCUUGUAUUAGUGUCACCACAUAAGUGAUUAUGAGAUCAACCACCCUUUCCAUCAAGCAUACAUAGGGUGUACCAGUCUUACCGAUAUCAUCGAUCUCUGAAUCGAUGAUCUAAUGACUGAAAAUAUUUUAGAUUGGAGCUAUCAAAAUUUUAGGUUUCACUAACAUGAUCUCAUCAUGGCCCUAAAAUCAUUAUCCUAAUCUAUAAAAUUUAUCAUAAUUAUAAAAAUAUGAUGCAACAAAUGAUAAAAUAUAAUACCUCAUAAUAAAAAUAACUAAUGUUAUACAAAUGAGUAUGAAAAAAAUAAAUAAAAAUUUCUUUGUAUCCCCAUGCGAUUGGUUUGUAGUUCAUUAUUUUUUCAAUCUUUCACUUGCACUAAAGCCAAUCACCCCUGUACCUGAUGCCCAUGCAAUCAGGAUGGCAAUCAUACUGCUGCUGUGUGAGGCUUAGUGAACUGGUCCAUUAUAAUAUUCUUAAUAUUAACUCAUUUUAUGAUCAAAUCAUGAAAGAUGAAAAGUACCUAGGAUGUGCAUGGGUACCUGAUGAGACCACACCCAACUCAGUGAUGUACCGUUUCAUCUGGCAACUUUUCUUAGCAAUCUUUACUAACAGUAAUUAAUUGAGUCAAACAUAGUUUGCUAUUUGGAACUCUUUCAAUUCACUGCUCCUCUAAUACUUUUCAAGUACUUUGAGAAUAUUUUUCAUAAUUUUCAAAAGAUUUCAUCAUGGAUCUGUGUGAAAUCAAUGAUUAUGCACAAGGCAUAAAUCACAUCAGGCUUGAUACAUUGAAUAUAUGAGUAUGUAAACUCCUUUACAUCCAUUCAUGUUGAACUUCUUCAAACAUAAAAUUUAUGUACCUAGACUGAGACAAGCCC